AUUGAACGCUGGCGGCAGGCUUAACACAUGCAAGUCGAGCGGGGAGAUGUAGCUUGCUACAUUUCCUAGCGGCGGACGGGUGAGUAAUGCUUAGGAAUCUGCCUAUUAGUGGGGGACAACAUUCCGAAAGGGAUGCUAAUACCGCAUACGCCCUACGGGGAAAGCAGGGGAUCUUCGGACCUUGCGCUAAUAGAUGAGCCUAAGUCAGAUUAGCUAGUUGGUGGGUAAAGGCCUACCAAGGCGACGAUCUGUAGCGGGUCUGAGAGGAUGAUCCGCCACACUGGGACUGAGACACGGCCCAGACUCCUACGGGAGGCAGCAGUGGGGAAUAUUGGACAAUGGGCGCAAGCCUGAUCCAGCCAUGCCGCGUGUGUGAAGAAGGCCUUUUGGUUGUAAAGCACUUUAAGCGAGGAGGAGGCUACUUGGAUUAAUACUCUAGGAUAGUGGACGUUACUCGCAGAAUAAGCACCGGCUAACUCUGUGCCAGCA
rnacentral:rRNA from 1 species